GAUGAACAUAUCAAACGACGUCGUUCCGGUGAACCCUAGAUAUUAAGCACCAAGCCACCAACAGCAGGCACCCGAAGAAUUUCAAACGUUAACUGAAGAAGACGCAGCUAAUAGCGAUGGAUAGAAGGAAAAGAACAACAGAAGAGGAGAUGAAGAAGACGAAGCAGAAUAGCUACAAUGGAGAAAGCGAAAUCUUCGCUUCUUGCUCUUUCUCCAGCCUCGGUCUUCACCCUACCUUGUGUGAUCAGCUCCGAGAAAGGAUGGGGUUCGAAGUUCCGACCAUCGUCCAGGCAGAAGCAAUUCCAGUAAUUCUCGCUGGGCGUCAUGUACUUGUUAAUGCUGCUACUGGCACUGGGAAAACUAUUGCAUACUUGGCUCCUGUUAUUAAUCAUUUACACAAGUAUGAUCCUCGAAUUGAGCGGUCAGCUGGAACUUUUGCGUUGGUUCUUGUACCAACGCGGGAGUUGUGCAUGCAGGUUUAUGAAAUCUUGCAGAAGUUAUUGCAUCGGUUCCAUUGGAUUGUCCCAGGGUACGUGAUGGGUGGUGAAAACAGGUCAAAAGAGAAAGCCAGGCUGCGCAAAGGCAUAUCUAUUCUCGUUGCAACUCCAGGACGUCUUCUGGAUCACUUAAAAAAUACAUCAUCCUUCUUGCACACAAAUUUGAGAUGGAUAAUCUUUGAUGAAGCAGAUAGGAUUCUGGAGUUAGGAUUUGGUAAAGAAAUAGAGGAGAUACUAGAUCUUUUGGGUUCAAGGACAAAUGGGCCUACUAUCAGGGAGGAUGCAGUUACUUCAGAAUUUCAGAGGCAGAAUUUACUGUUAUCAGCUACUUUAAAUGAAAAAGUAAACCAUCUUGCUCAAAUUAGUUUAGAAAAUCCAGUUACAAUUGGUCUUGAUGGCAAGAAGAUGCAACCAAAACCAUCGCUUGAACAUUUUGGGUCUGUUGAAUUUGAUGUGGAUGAUGACUCAGAAAAGUUACGCAAAAUAAUAAGCCCAUCAAAUGGGGAUUAUAAACUUCCAGCUCAAUUAGUUCAGAGAUAUGUGAAAGUGCCCUGUGGCUCACGGCUAGUGGUGCUUCUUUCCAUUUUAAAGCAUCUUUUUGAGAGAGAAGCUUCCCAAAAGAUUGUGGUAUUCUUUUCGACAUGCGAUGCAGUAGAUUUCCACUAUUCACUGUUCAGUGCAUUCCUGUGGCCAGCCAAUUUACAUCCAGAAACAGAAGAUAGACAGAUGUUUUUGAGAUUCAAAACAUUUCAGUUGCAUGGAAACAUGAAGCAUGAAGAUCGAAGAACCACCUUUCAGACCUUCAAAAAGGAGAAAUCAGCUCUUCUCUUGUCUACAGAUGUUGCUGCUAGGGGCCUGGAUUUUCCAAAAGUUCGUUGUAUCAUACAGUAUGAUUCUCCAGGGGAGGCUAGUGAAUAUGUCCAUAGGGUUGGAAGAACUGCACGGUUGGGAGAAAGGGGAGAUUCUUUGUUAUUUCUACAACCAGUUGAAAUGGAUUAUUUGCAAGACCUAGAGAAACAUGGUGUAUCUCUGACAGAGUAUUCACUUCUCAAAGUGUUAGAUAGUUUCCCAUUGUCUGGUCAGAAGCACCAUAUCAAGAAGUUUAUUUCGUUAGAGAUGCAUCCGUGGUCGCUUUAUUUGCAGAAGGCACUAGAAUCCUUCAUCUUUGCUGAGCCCAAGAUGAAGAAGCUGGCCAAGGAUGCAUUUUGCUCUUGGGUCCGUGCAUAUACAGCCCACCGUGGUGAGCUGAAAAGAAUUUUUCAGGUGAAAAAACUUCAUCUGGGGCAUGUGGCAAAGAGCUUUGCAUUGAAGGACCAACCCUCCCUGGUUGGAAAAUCAAUGCAAAUGCAAACAAAAAAGAGGAAAAGAGAUCAGAAACAACAGGGACUGUCCAAAAGGAAGAAGCUUGCUAGAAAAACAUGAAUCGACGACAUUGCAUUUUUAAUUAUCACCUUAUCCAAUGGGCAAGUUGAGAAUGGUACCGAUGCUAAAGACUCCUACAGUCAACUCCCUCCAUUGGGCUACCCCAGGCAUGUUGUAGGCAGGCUGAUCACCAAAUCACAUGAUCUGCAGACAUCAUUUUCUUAUGAACUGGCGGUGGCUGGCAAUGGCUGUGCCCGUUCGGUUGGCAAUGAGGAGUUGGUUUUCCAGCCAAAGGUCAAGCCAACCGUACUGUGGGCAAUAAAAUCCAUGACCCACAUUAGUUGGAAAAUCUUUUCCUCUACACAGUUUCAGAUCCUAUGGAUUUUCAUCCGUAGGUCCCGCAAAUUUUACCCAAAACUCAUAAUUUCAAUAAUGAAAGACGUCCUAUAAUCUACCCUGACCGUGGACAGUUAUGACCCGGCAAACGUACACACAGUGUGGCCCCGAUCAGAUCAGUCAACCUUCACAAACGUACGGUGAGAAGCAAGCGGAAGGCGUGGGCCCCAGCUUGGCGAGCACCUCAGACCUCCCUAUGCGUUGACGAUUAGACGACCAUAAAUAUAACGGUGAGGUGUAGAUACUCCCACGUCAGGUAAAUAGGAUCACUUGGUUGGGCUCACUUAUGGGCCCAUGAGACACGGAUAUAUUUAUUAGUCUUUGGCCCACUUCGCGUCCUAGUUGUCGGACGACCCUUUUCGUCUAUCUCAAUUUAUCUCUUUGAUUGUGACCUGCUUUA